AGAUGCGAUCAUACCAGCACUAAAGCACCGGAUGCCAUCAGAACUCUGAAGUUAAGCGUGCUUGGGCGAGAGUAGUACUAGGAUGGGUGACCUCCUUGGAAGUCCUCGUGUUGCAUUCC
rnacentral:rRNA from 1 species